rnacentral:rRNA from 1 species
UACGAAGGGUGCAAACGUUGCUCGGAAUCAUUGGGCGUAAAGCGCACGUAGGCGGCUUCGCAAGUCGGAUGUGAAAUCCCUCGGCUCAACCGAGGACGUGCAUACGAAAACUGCGGAGCUUGAGUGCUGAAGAGGAUCGCGGAAUUCCCCGGUGUAGAGGUGAAAUUCGUAGAUAUCGGGAGGAACACCAGUGGCGAAGG